GUUAACGUAGAGCUGGUAUAUUGCUGUCUUCACUGGAGUGCUGCAAGCUCGAAGUGUGGCUGCAGCACUUCUCGCUCGUAACGUGAAACUUAAAAACACGCCAAGGAGUGGAUGCAAGUGAACUAUCAAUCUACUGAAACAGAAGCGGGAAAUGUAUUCGAAGACGAAAAUGCUCGCGCGACCUGUGCGUCAGACCCGGAUAAACGCACGCGAGCUGACAAAAUCCUGAGUAGCUGUUAUUCAACAUAAACACAUUUCCGCACACAUGAAGAUGGAUGACGAUAGUUCAUCUUAAAAUUAAACUUAUGUUUAUCAGCUUACCCCCAGGCCAUCCAAGAGAUGCUCUUAAGAACAACGCCCUGAUGUCCAAGGUCAACCAGCAAGAAGCUGAGAAGGCACUGCCAAAAUGGUUUACUGGGGCAAGGGACAGAGGAGGACAGAGAGCAUCAAGAAUGCAGAAAAGGAUGUCUGUUUGAGAAAGGUUAAAACUACAGUUGUUGAUUUGAACUGUUGUAGUUCUUUAAUUUUUCUUAAAGGAAAACACAAUCACUUUUCAAUAUUUACCAUGUUCUUCCCUCAACUUAGAUGAAUUAAUACAAACCUCUCUUUUCUCAAUGUGUGCACUUAAAGGUGGGGUGCACAAUUUCUAAAAAAAAAAACGUUUUGGAAAAGGGAGACAGGCCGACUAUCAAAACACACUUGUAGCCAAUUAGCAGCAUGUCUACUAAAUGACAUCGUUGCCUGGGUUGCGUAUGUGUGGGGCGGGUCUAUCAAAAGAAGGUCCAGAUUCUAUUAGGGUAAGGGUGUGUUUGUUUAGAUGAUUUCAAAUAUCAACAUUGGCUUUCAUGCACCCUGCCUUUAUUUGUUGUAAAGUGUGGCGUGAAUGUGUUAGCAUUUAGCCAAGCACCAUUCAUUCAUUAGGAUCCAAACAGGGAUGAAUUUAAUAGCCACCAAACACUUCCAUGUUUUCCCUAUUCAAAGACUGUUACAUGAGUAGUUACACGAGGAAGUAUGGUAAAAAAUAUAACUAUAUUGUAUGGCGGAAGAGCACUUAGUUUGUAGCACUCGACCUUGGGCACAGCAGGGCUCGAUAUUAAGGCUUGUCCGCUUGUCCGGGACAAGUGGAUUUUUUGUAGGACAAGUGUAAGAGAAAAUUAGUUGUCCGACUGGACAAGUUAAAUUUCAAUCAAUGUUACUUCACGUUUUGUUCCGUUAACGACAGAGCAGAACGCGCAGCGCAAACACCGAGCGGAAUAUUGAACAGAGAGCGCGGCACGCCGACACACACGUUUACAUACUGUUACUAAACAAGCUGUGCGCGCAUUAAACCUGAUCGCCGAACACGGAGGGGCGGGAGUCGCGGGACGGCAUGGAGUGGAGUGGAGAGUGAUGUUUCUUCAGGCUCCGGCGUGAAUAUAUAAAUGACAGGCACUUCAACCGAGUUUUCAUCACUGUGUGACAAAAAGCCGAUUUAAGUCCGUAUUUUUUCUCUUCUAAUGUUCAGUAAAACACAUAAAAUCUUGUUUAAGAAUCUGUUUUAUAACGAGAAUCUCUCUUUCAGAGCGCCUAUAUGUGUGCGCGCUGCGCGACAGCUGAUUUGAAUCUGAUAGAGUUCGUCACUGUACAUUAAAAAUCCCAGACGAACAUUACAACGUAAAUGCUAGGAUUAAGAUUGAUUUUAUAUAUAUAACAGAUAAUCUAGAUACAUUUAUCCUAAUAAGUUUUUUAAAACAUGGUAAUGUUUUAAUGUUUUGCUUUAGUGUUUUAAUGUCAGACAAUCAUUGAAAAAUCAUCUAUUAUUUUGC